GACGAACGCUGGCGGCGUGCUUAACACAUGCAAGUCGAGCGGUAAGGCCCUUUCGGGGGUACGACGAGCGGCGAACGGGUGAGUAACACGUGGGUGACCUGCCCUCAGCUCUGGGAUAAGCCUGGGAAACCGGGGUACUAAUACCGGAUAUGACUCCAUGACGCAUGUUGUGGGGUGGAAAGCCUUGUGCGGCUGAGGAUGGGCCCGCGGCCUAUCAGCUUGUUGGUGGGGUGAUGGCCUACCAAGGCGACGACGGGUAGCCGGCCUGAGAGGGCGACCGGCCACACUGGGACUGAGACACGGCCCAGACUCCUACGGGAGGCAGCAGUGGGGAAUCUUGCGCAAUGGGCGAAAGCCUG
rnacentral:rRNA from 1 species